CGUCCAGAAUACUCACUUGGCAGUUGAACUCAGUUGGAUGAAGACGCAACAGUAUGUGUAGUGCUGCAGCAUGCUUCAGGUCGGGUUUUUAUAAGAGGUUGAAGCAAAUACAUCGUUUUGAGAGACAUGGGCGAUCCGCUUUUGCUUAAGAUUGACAGGCUCUUGAAGAUCUUUUUGUAAGAUAAGUAUGCUUUAUGUUAUACAACACGCGCAAAUACACUCACAUGUCAAUUAUUCAUUACAUAAGAGUCUUUUACGCUUCUCUGAAAUACGCCAAACUUUUACCCCCUCCUUGCAAUGCGUGAUACAUACUGUUUAUAGAUGUUUGAACACUCAGAAGAAAGUGCAAUUUAUAUGGUGCAAACGGCCGAAGUAAUAACUUCCACAAGUGGAAGACUUUUUGUUUUCGGCGCUUUUUAGUAAGAUAUCUUAUUAAGUAAUAUCAUUAACUCAAUACAGGCCAUACAAUUUGGCAUAUUGCAAACUCGAUCUCAACCAUUUUUUUUUACUGUUCGCUGAGUCUGCGCUUCGAGCAAACCAAUGGGCACGCACAUCAUUUAAAUAAUCAGCGUAUUUUCCUCUGUUAAAUAUUUUAAUAUGUUAUAUUUUAAUAUUUUAAUAUUAAAAAUGCACGUGUCUUAUGUUAAGAGUGUGUUCGUUUAAUAAAGAAUUGUAAACAUUUUCUCGUUUCAGAAGCCUGCCGUACCGUGCAACGUGCGCUUCCAAGCAAUCUUGGUAAUUUUGGUUCACAUUCAGGAAUUCAUCGUACUUACAUGCAUCAGUUGUAUCAAAAUUGAAUAAAUACUUUUAUAAUUCCCUGUUUUUUACU